rnacentral:sRNA from 1 species
UCUUAGCCCCGAUAGAAACGGCAUCCUUUUUUGUUUUGUAAGAAACAAAAAAGAUAUAGUGGAUAGCGGGAAACAGC